rnacentral:lncRNA from 1 species
UGCGAAAAUUAUGAGGGGAUGAUAUUAUGCCAUUACACCAGGCCCUUCCCUUUUGUACCUGAAGUACCUGAAACAAUAAACAAAAACUAUAAGCACAAGGUUUAAUGAGUUCCACAAAGUACCACAUACCAAACAUACAAUUGCGCCUAGCCCAAGGGUAUAUUCAAAACAAAUACACAAAUAUGGGCCUAGCCCUAGGGUUUCUUUCAACCCAUCAUAGGACCAACCCCGGGGUCUAUUUCAACCCAGUCAUAAAAUAAUGGCCCAACCCUGGGUUCUAUUUCAACCCAAUCAUACAAACAUGUAAAAGUUAUAUAACAGCUAGCAUCAUACAUAAAUAAUCUGAUGACCCGACAUUGGUGCAUCGUCCCACAAAUACAGUGAGAAGACUCACCUCUAACUGAUGAUAACUAAACCACACACUCGAGCUAAUACUAUCUCGGCUCCCCACACUAAUCAAAACCCAAAGACAAACCUAAUUAAUAAUAAAUAUUGUGUCCGAUAAUAAAUGGUCUUAGUCAUAAUUUAUCUUCCAAGGGUAAAAGAACAUUUUUCUCUUCCCAUGCAUGACCCAAGGUUACAAGGCCCAAAACUCCUAAUGACCAAAAGCCCAAAAAUGGCCCAAGAGCGUCUUAUGGGAGUACGCCAUGCGUACUGCUUUUUACGCUCGUCGCACCACUUCAACUUAGAAGGUUUACGAGGCACAAACCUAGUACGUCUGACGUACUUAGUGUUACGCCCAACAUACCCUUCAGACGUCUAAAAUCCCCAUUAAGGCCUUAUUGUAUUCUGACAUUUUGAUAUUGUAUUUGGUGAUUGACUUGGAGAUAUUUGGUGAAUGAAACUAUUGGUUUUAAAAAUAAAAAAAUUUAUCACUAUUUUUGGGUUGUUACAAGUUGAUAUCAAAGUCUUGGAUUAUUAUAAAAGACUAUUUUGCCCUUCGCAUGUAUGACAGAAGGAUACAAGACCCAACACCCCUAACGACCCAAAGCCCAAAAAUGGCCGAAGAGGGUAUUCUGGGAGAUACACAAAGAUGUAAAGAAUUAAGAUCAAAAAGCUUGAGUGCAACACCACCUCUUCAAGAAUCUUCCUUCACCACCAAGAACACUAAAAGAACACUCAAGAGCUUUAAAACUCACGCACAAGAAUUAGGGUUUGGAGAUGGGGCUAGGAAGGAUGAAGUCUGGAAGCAACAGAGGGUUCAAAGCCAUAAUGUUCUUUAAAUAGGGUCAAAACCCUAAAAAUUAGGGUUUGGAAUCUUUGUAAGUACUCCCUGCGUACUCUUAUGUACGCUCAUCUCAUCGUACACAAUAACAUCCCCUCCGUCCACUUAAUGAACCAUGUUCGGCAUAUCAUAAGGUACGCCCUGCGUAAGGACUAUUUUUGCAAAUAUUUUUAUACUUAUUGUAUGAUGAAAAUAGAAUAACCGCCUAUUUUUUUGUGUUGUGUACUUAGGGGUAUACACUAUACAAUCAACUAUAAAAAAAUUGCUUAUCAAUUUCUAUUUGUAAUAGAUAGAUGGGAUAAGGAUUUGUGUUGAUAACUCUAAAACUGGUCUAGAAAGGAAUUUGAGAAUUCUUAUGAUAUGAAAUCAUAGUCUAAAUAGAAUCAUGAUCUAAAGAUAUCCAUUAACCACACGGUGUUACCAAUUCUAUACUAGUAUUUUAGUCUCCUGACCCAGAAUAAUUUAUAGUCCUCACCGAUGCCUCUUAUGUUUAAUUCCAUCACACUCAUUUGUCACUAGAUUCACCCAUGAUGUCGAACAAAAUUAGGCAGCCGGCCUCAACUUCAAAACCCAAUCUUUGUAGAAGUUCAAUUGUUUGUAUCAGUUCGUUUGACAAUGAAACGCAAUCAGUAUCAGCAUCAUCCUUAUCAUUGGCGUGAGAGUAAUCAAGUUUUCUAUUAAGAUCUAGUUGAGAGGGAUCACCAAGGGGAGAUGACAAGGUUUCGACCAGGGGAUUAGAGUCUGAGUUGGGGAUAGGACGCGACUUCUUAUGAGGGUAAACGAUCGAGGGGAAUCUGUAGUGUCGUGUCCUUUUGGAUUAGGCACAAUACCAAUGGUACCACCUAGGCCUGGCAAUGGGGCGGGUUUUGACCCUGAUCUGAUCCAAACCCUUAACAAUUAUACGAGUUUGGAGCAUAGUUUUUUAUCCAUUUACCCGUUAACGACCCGUACCCGCUAACCAUUUUAUUAAAAGGGUCGGGUAUGGAUCAUCAUCGAUCCGCUCCAUUUAUAACCCGCCCCAUAUAAAUUUUAGAAUUAUACAUUUAUAUUUUAUACUGCCUAAGUUUUACUUUAAAUUCGAAUCGAAAGUCCAAAGACUAAUUUGUUUUUACAUAGGACUAGAUGACUCAACAUCUAGACUUUCAUUCUUCUCCCAAGAAUCAUGAUGUCAUUUCAUUUAUAUUUCAUCAUAUAAUCACCAAUUUUAUUUAUAAAUCAAUAAAUUCAUUUGUCAAUCGGAAGAAAGUUUGUAAUCGUUAUUCUCUAUCAAUGCAAUCGAGGGUCAAAAACCAAUCGGAAGUAACUACAAUAAUGAUUUUAAUUCCAAUCGAAACUCUUCGAGUACAUAAUAUGUUUCUAAAUCAACAUUUGUUCUAUUUAACAAAUGUGAUUUUAUGGUUUAAGUAAAAUGAGUUUGAUUAUUCAAAAAACCUACGGGUUACGGGGCAGGUUUGGAUAUCUGCUGAUUCGGUGGAUAAGGGUAUGAGUUUGAUUAUUUAAAAUUCUGCGGGUUACGGAACGGGUUUGGAUUGGGUUUUGAAAUUUGUUAAAAGAGUUUGGAUUAAGGUCGAUUCGUUCUAAACCCGCCCGAUUGCCAGGUCUAGCACCACCUGAUUUGUCUAUGUUCUGGAUCGACACUAGACCAUCGGGGUUUAAAUUAGGUCUUACCCCAACUAUGAAGGGAAACGGCCCAAAACACGUCUUAGCCACUAAGUUUUUAAAAUAUCCAUUGGACUCCUGUUGUUGGUCAACAUUCGGGGCACCAUCUCCUUUAUUAACUGAUCAGGUUGAGCAUGGGUUUCUUGGAAACUACGAUCUACGUGAUUAUCAAAGCAGGGGUUGUAGACCGACUUAUGGAUUCUGGAAGCGGCAAUUCACUAACCUUCUCAUCCGGCUGAACGACUGUCAAAUACGAUGGCGGGGGUGCGAAGAUGGAGGUUGCGAAGUCGGAAAAGGCUCCAGAGGAUGAUCUUCAAUUUUGCCAUCAUAGUCUUUAGCGACCCCGCCCACCCUCUGGUCAAUUUCCCCACCCUCAAGGUCAUCCCCUUCAAUAUUAAUGAACUUCUCAGAGAUACCGUCUUUAUUCUCAUCAAAAAUUCCUUCAUUCUGUUCACAUUGAUUGAAAAUUAAAAAGGGAGCCAUGCAUGAUCUUCAAACUCAACAAUGGGAAUUUUGAAUGAUUUUCCCUCCACCGCGACUUCUAAUUCUUUAUUAACUUUUAACUUAGAUUUCAUGACUAUUCCAAUCUUUAUGCAAGAAAUGUUGCUACCAUAUUUUCUUAGAAUGAUAGAGAAUUUUUCUUCACCCCAUAAGUAUAUUAGUAGACCAACUAUUCUAACCCAUGCCACACGAUAUUCAUUCUUUUCCUCUACCUCGCUGUACCUAAGCCAUGUGAAGAACCCUGUCCAAUUGUAGUUCUUUUGAGGAACAACAUCAAGCUUCAACGGAGAGUCUUUGCUUAGGAAUGCCACAUGGGGAGGUUGACGGACGGAUGAUUGAGGCCUUGCUACUUCUGCAUAUGAGCAGCUCCAUAUCAUCACUUCCUUUAAACCUAAUGAAUCCGUAGUAUUUCCCAAUUCUUCUCCUUUUGUAAUGCAGAUAUACGUCUGCAACCUUACUCUAUGCUUCAAAUAUCCUUCUGAUUGUGAAUUUUCAGGCCUCCAGUGGUAUAUUAGUGACAAAGAAUGAAGUUAUUCCAUCCACGUGGGAUUUGGUUCUCCAUCUUGCUUUCCUCUGAUGUAUCUCCGUCCAUUUCCCAUCGUCGUCACUGUUCAUCUCCUCUUAACAGACAAAGUCGAAUAAUUUAUCUAGUGACUAGAAUUUGUAUGCUAAUUACAAAUGAUUUACAAUUUAACAUGAUACAAUUUAAAUGAUCUUUUCUCGCGUGUGUCGGUAACAAGUUAAUGAUAUAAUAUAUAAUGGACUUGCACAAUUUUUCAAGAAACCAAAUUCCAUCUCCAAUAUCCUCAAUCGGACACUCGAGUACAUUCCACAAUCUAGACUCCUUAAUUAAGGUACGUAGGGUCAGUAGAGAAGCUUGCAUUUGUUACCUGACUUUCUGCCUAAUAUUUAGAUCUACGACUCAUGCAUGAUCUAGAACACAGUACAAAUGAGGAUGAAACUAAUUUCUAUACAACAGUACAUUAUCAGUUACCCUAUAAGAAUUUCUCUUGCGAGAAGAAUUACUCUUGUCUGAAGAAUGUCUUGUUACAUCAAACUUGUAUUUAGUAAUUUUAAUUAAGUUCUUAAGAAUGCUUACUCUAUAAUAAAAGAGUAAAUUUAUGUCAUAUGUCAUCUUAGAAUGCUUCUUUGAGAGUAUUUUCUAGUCUAUUGUAUAGCUAUGUCUAUUUGCCUAGUUCCCCUUCCAUUCCUUAACAUCGACAUUUUUAAAAUUUGAAAUUAAAAUCAAUAGCUUUAUUACAUGGAUUAAAUGUCUAGCAGUUUGGAAAUUUCAUACAAUAAUAUUCAACAAAUCAACACGUCUUCCGCUUCCUGAAUUUCAUCGGAUUUAAUUAGGCAACACCUCAUUCUAGAAAGUCAUCCUCUCCGAUCUUGAAAUCAAUCUUUAUCCUAUAAAACUUAAGAAGACUUUUGUUGAGUUGUCGAAAGCUCUGCAAUUCAAGGUCGCAUAGUAUGUCUAAUUCGAUGCUAUUUGCAAAGAAUAUCAUAUGAUAGGGGUUGUUUUCUGGCGUGUCAUUCGUUUCGGAAUGGCUUUUCGUUGGGCUGUCGUUACGAGUUUUUGUUUGUUUAUUUACCGUGUAACGACUCGAAUUGUCUACAAUUAAUUAUCUAGGGACUAUCAGAGUUAUUUCUAAAAAUUUAUAGAAUUAUAUUAACUCAUAAAAAUAAAACAUUUUACAUCUCAAACAAUAUUGAAGGUUUACAAUAAAAUCAUGCAUAUAAAUUAAAGCAACAAGGAAAAAUAUAUACAUUACACAACAAUGUUUGUCGAGUUAUAUUUUUCUAUUUUCAUGUUAUUCUACUCUUCUUCUAACUUAAUUAUUUUUUUCACAAACUCUAACUUUCUUUUCUUCUUCAAUUUCAUACUCUACAUGCAAUUUAAUCUCUUCUUUUGAUAGCAUACUAUGCUAUACUAUGCUAUUCUUUCUCAUUCUAUCUAUAUCUUCUAGAUUUUCUCAUGACUUCUCAUUUCAUCAAUCUUAUACUCUACCUUCUACUCUUGUUGUCUUUUUUUCUAAUAUUUUAUCCUCGUAUCGUACUCUCUCUUAGCCUCUUCUCAAGUUCGUCUCAUACUUUAUCUUCUUUUUCCUUAUCACUCUCAUACUCUUCUUUUUGCAUCUCUUUUCUUGUCCCUUACACUUAUCUCAUCUUAUAUUCUGCGUGUUCUUCUCAUACUUUAUGCAUGCUAUUUCCAGACCUCUUACUCAUAGCAUGACUUCUCAUACUCUUCUCAUACUUACCUCUAUAUUCUCAACUUUUCAUACCUUAACGUUCUAAUCUCAACUAGACUCACUGGCCCAAUCUCGUACUUUACUCUCAUCUAUCGUCUAAAGGAAACACCUUCCCACUAAUGAUAUCGGGUACACUCAUCUAAUGUAAUCUCCUUCCUUAGAUCCCUCGUGGAUCCUUAACCAUUCUUUAUCUCUUGAAUCCCCUAUGAUUCCUUACUCUUAAUCCCUCACAGAUUAUAUCUAAGUUCUCUUGAAAAAAUCUCUAUAUAUAUCCCCAUUAAGAAAAACAUUAGAAAACAAACAUCAUAUGACAAUAUCUGGUUUUGGGAAGUCAUUCCCAAAACUUUCACUAAGGCUAUGUUUGGUGCGUCACAGCUGACUAAUAAGCUAGCUUAUUUUUUGAGCUUUUUUAUGUUGUCGUGUUUGGUAAGCCAAAAAGUAGCUUAUUAGCUAGCUUAUAAGCUAGCGUUUUGAAAAGCUACUUAGACUAGCUUUUUAGGAGUUUUUUUAAAAUUUUCCAAAUACACCCCUUAAUUAAUUAUAGAAACACAUAUUCUUAUAUGUCAUUUUAUUUAAUUUUAUAUAUUUUAGCUAGCUUUUCAGCUAAUUUUACCAAACGUUAAUUUUUUAUCAGCUAGCUUUUCAUCUAUCAGCUAGUUUUUUAUUUAACAGCUAGCUUUUUAGCUAGUACGCCAAACAUAACCUAACUUUAUUAAGAUCCCCUUGGAUAAAUCUGUCAUUGUGUAGACCACUUAACUUAGCACUCCGUGUGCAUCCAUUCAGCAACUACUUGAUAACCAUAAACAUGUUUUACAGUGAAAUAAUAAAUCUAAUUAAAAAAACAUAUUUAUUAAUGUGAUAAUAGGAUAAGUGAUUAUACUUUUUGGCUAGUGUCAGCCCGAUUGUCCCAGUCCUACAAAAGAGAUCUAGAACUUUUUCUGAAACAUCUACUUUUAAACCAGCACAAUCUUCUACUAACUUGUAAAGAAUUUCAGCUAGAUGUUCAUUCGUUUGGUAGAAUGAGUUUGCUGAAAUUUCAAAUGAUAAUCCUCUUAACAUUUCAUCGAUAGUAGCUUUCCCGUUUAUAGUGUACUCUUUCUUUGUCACAUAUGUGUUUCCAACUAACGUGUUCACAUUAUUCAUGAUGUUUACCUUAAAAAUAUAUUAAAAAAAAGUAUAAUAAGUAUGUAAUAAAUUUGCAUACCACUUCUGGAAAACUGAUAGUUUGUCAACAAGGGGAUUUAAAAGCUCGGGUUUGUAGGAAGAUGUCGUAAAAUUAACCAUUAGUUGAGGGAGUCUAGUGUCAACAUCUUUGUGAAAAGUUAUGGAGUUGUAAUUAAUGUAUAUUAGUAUUAGACUAAUAAUCUUUAAUAAUUUAGUAAUAAUUUCAUGAAAAUAUGAAGGGAAAAAAAAGUGGUACCUUCCACUUUUUAUCAUGAGGUGAUUCAUAAAUCCAUCAUGAGAGUGGCAAUCAUAUGGUGAGAGUCUAACUUCAUGAUUCCUCCAACAAUCUUGAACGACUGCAAGAACAUAUACAAUUCAAAUGCAAAUUAAAAAGAGGCAUGCUAUCAUCUUCAUCUUUCAUAAUUACCAAAGAUGAAAUUCUUAUAAUUCUAUCCACUAAAAAUUAAUAACAAUGGUUCCAUGAUCGAAAGUACCUUACCUUAUUCGCAACUUCACUUUGUAAAAAGCACUUGUCGACAUUUAACACUUUAUCAAAAAAAAAAAAAAAAACAAAAACAAAGACACUAGCAAUUGCUCUUUGGGCUUACAGGAGCAUGUAAGCCUAAAGCAUAGACAUUAGCAAUUGCUCUUUGGGUAACCAUCUUUUUGGGCCAAAGGAAAAUUUCAUUUGAUAAAUAGAGAUUGAGAUUUAAACAAGAAGAAAGACACAAAUAAAUACAUAAACAAAUGGGAUUUACUGACCUUGUUUCUGUAGUCAUUGCUACACUAAUUGGUAUUUUUUUUUUUGAAGACUAUGUUGCAAUAAGAACAUAAAGUAAGAUUUACAUGGGUGUAAAACCAUCUUACAUGUACCAUAAUAAAAACUUGCUACAUUUGAUAAGCAUAAACUCAAUAGAACUCUUUUAUAUGAAAUUCUAAAUGAAGUUUAUACCAAUCAAUGAGGAUGAUGGGUUGACAUCAUCUCAUACUGAGACAUCAAAUCCAAAUAUUGGUCCUCAAUUAUAGGAAACCCCUAGAUAUAAUCUUCAAAAACCAAAACCGAAGUGAUCCUCUUAGAACUUUCAUCAGUCACCAAUCGUCAAACAAAUGUCUCGAUUAAGAAAUUAACACUAAUUACUAUGAUCUAUGUCAUGACCUAAAUAGUAAAAACAAAAGAAAAUCAUGAAAACCUCCGAAGCUACUUGCAAUAAAAACAAUAUGCUACUAACCUGGUCAAAAUCCUUUAAAAUGUAGCAAAAAAGGGAAAACCGAAAAAAAAAAUCAGGAAGUUGUAAAAAUAUCAAAAUUUUAAGCCUGUGAAUCAGAAUCUUGGUAUUUUAGACAAAAACUAGUUCUUAGAAAACUAAACAGUAAAUUAAAUUUGUAUAAAUUCUCAUUUUAAAAUCUUUAUAUUCAAAGUUUUUAUUCUAUGCCCAUCUUGAUUAACAACAACACUUAGAGAGUAUACAUGCUUCUUUCCAAUAUAAUAUUUGUUUUUCUUUUGUCAUUACUUUCUUUAAUAGCAGCAUGCUCGAGGAAUUAGCUCAACUUGCCUAAGACCACCAAGAAGACAGUCAAGAAGAUUCAUAUAUUUAGUGAUGUGAUACAAAUGAUGGAAAAAACAGAAAUUAAAGUAUAAUACCUAUAAGAAGAAAUCCAUAUGCCAUUGUUGCCUAAGAAGGAUCCUGCACAUAUUUUAAAAAUUGGAAAUGCUUGACUUUUAUGGUAAAAAUGCACAUAAUCAAACUCUACUGGUUUCAAAAAGAUCGUGUACGUAAAAUUAUAGAUGACCCGAUAGAUUUGAGUGAUGUUAUUCUUACCUUCUCAACAUUUUUUAAUCAAUACAUAUUCUUUGCUAAAUUUGAUUAAAAAUAACAAAAGAUACAAUCAUAUUAACUUCUCAACAUAGGUUCGAACCAUAUCUUCAACGAAAAUAAAUAUAAAAGAGGCAUAACAAUAAAACAUUUUAACUAAUAUAUGAUAUAAAGAAUAAAGAAAGACUACUACCCACCAUAUAUAUUUCAUAUUUCAUUCAAUCAUUUUAGCAAACACUUGGUGGGCAAGAGAUGCAACAUUAUAUCCAAGCACUUCUCCAGCACUAAAGCCGUAAAAAAAUUCUAUCAAAUUUGAAAAGUGUUGUUUUGGAAUACAUUCAAGUAAGCCAUAUGGAAAAACAACAUGUGACAACAGGAAGUAGAAAAAAGAAAUAGAAGAAGCAGCAAGUCACAAUAAUAAGUUAAAAUUCUCGAGUAUGACUUAAUAAUUGCACAAAAAAAAACUUCAUUGUAGAAAUCAAUAACAUCAAUAUCAAGUAUCUCUUACCUGGUGGAAUCAUCUAUUGAUUAUGCUUUUGACAUCUCAUCUAUUGAUGAUGCUUUUGACAUCUCAAGUUAGCUGCUACUUCAUCUCGUCGAACUCUAUUUUGAUCUGUCUCGAUAUCGUUGUCCCAAUAAAGCUCACCUUCUGUCUAUAUCAUUCUCAUUCUUCCAUGAUCAAACACAAGACUGAUCACACACAUCGAUGCUCAUAAGUUUUCUAUUUCUUCUUUCCCCUAUUUUUUUCUCCUGUACAAACACUUAGGCUAGACGGAGCCAGUAUGGCAAGGAGGGGCGGGGCCUUUCCCCCUCCAAUGAACACCGCAUCGGCGGUGCGGGAAGGGUUACGCGGGGAGGAAGUGGGGUGGGGUGGCCGCGUUCUUGCUCC